UGACCUCAAAUCAGGUAGGACUACCCGCUGAACUUAAGCAUAUCAAUAAGCGGAGGAAAAGAAACUAACAAGGAUUCCCCUAGUAACUGCGAGUGAAGCGGGAAAAGCUCAAAUUUAAAAUCUGUCAGUCUUUGGCUGUCCGAGUUGUAAUCUAGAGAAGUGUUAUCCGCGCUGGACCGUGUACAAGUCUCCUGGAAUGGAGCGUCAUAGAGGGUGAGAAUCCCGUCUUUGACACGGACUGCCAGGGCUUUGUGAUGCGCUCUCAAAGAGUCGAGUUGUUUGGGAAUGCAGCUCAAAAUGGGUGGUAAAUUCCAUCUAAAGCUAAAUAUUGGCGAGAGACCGAUAGCGAACAAGUACCGUGAGGGAAAGAUGAAAAGAACUUUGGAAAGAGAGUUAAACAGUACGUGAAAUUGCUGAAAGGGAAACGCUUGAAGUCAGUCACGUUGGCCAGGGAUCAACCUUGCUUUUGCUUGGUGUACUUUCUGGUUGACGGGUCAGCAUCAAUUUUGACUGUUGGAAAAAGAUCAAGGGAAUGUGGCAUCUUCGGAUGUGUUAUAGCCCAUGGUUGCAUACAAUGGUUGGGAUUGAGGAACUCAGCACGCCGCAAGGCCGAGUAAUUUUACUACGUACGUGCUUAGGA
rnacentral:rRNA from 2 species